AUGUGCAUACCAAAAGUUAGGGGAGGCAUGGGAUCUAGAGAUCUCCAUGCUUUUAACUUAGCAAUUUUGGCAAAACAAAGUUGGAGAUUGAUAACCCAUCCUAAAACUUUAUGUGCCAGAGUUCUACGAGCUAAAUACUUCCGUGACGGUAAUCUUCUUAAGUUGGGGCCAAAGAAGGGGUUAUCUUACACAUAGCAAAGCAUUUUUGCAGGGCUACAAACUUUCCGCAGAGGUCACAUUUGGUGUGUUGGCUCAGGAGUGAAAGUAAAUAUAUGGGAUGAUCACUGGAUUUCGUCUUGUCAGAGUAGGAUGAUUAUGACUAGGAGAGGUAAUACCUUGCUCAGGACAGUGGAUGAACUGAUGAUUCCGGGUUUUGCAAGCUGGGACGAGGAACUGAUAAGAAGCAUUUUCUUGCCAUUGGAUGCGGAGACAAUAAUCAAUAUCCCACUAUCAGAAAAUGCUACAGGGGAUUUCAUUGCUUGGAAUCACACAAAAUUAUUUUCCUUUAUGGUCCGAUCAGAGUGGGAACACCAAUUUGGAUCGACAUGUUCGAGUAUGCAGAGCACGUCUAAUAUAAACCCAAUUUGGGAAAUGGUUUGGAAACUGGAAAUACCUAGCAAAGUUAAGAUCUUUGUAUGGCGGGCACUGCAUGGCUUGAUCCAUGGAAUGGCUAUGCUGGCUGGACGACAUAUCAAAGUUUCACCGCAAUGCCAUGUGUGUCGUUCUGGCCUAGAAGACAUCAAACAUCUAAUCUUCAGUUGUGACAGAGCAGUUUUAGUCUGGCGUGCACUGUGA
rnacentral:rRNA from 1 species